rnacentral:rRNA from 1 species
UACGGUAGGGUGCGAGCGUUGUCCGGAAUUAUUGGGCGUAAAGAGCUCGUAGGCGGUCUGUCACGUCUGCUGUGAAAACUCGGGGCUUAACCCCGGGCCUGCAGUGGGUACGGGCAGACUAGAGUGCGGUAGGGGAGACUGGAAUUCCUGGUGUAGCGGUGAAAUGCGCAGAUAUCAGGAGGAACACCGGUGGCGAAGGCGGGUCUCUGGGCCGUAACUGACGCUGAGGAGCGAAAGCGUGGGGAGCGAACAGG